rnacentral:tRNA from 1 species
GCCCAGGUGGCGGAAUUGGUAUACGCGUACGUUUGAGGGGCGUAUGGAGAGAUCCAUCCGGGUUCAAGUCCCGGCCUGGGCACCA